AGCAUUUGGUUAACUUGAUUCUACUUGCAGAUAACUUCCUGAGAAUGAUGUGGCUUUCCAUGCACCAUAACUACAGGGAGAAAAAUAUACUAUUCCUAUGAACUAUGGCUAACCUGGUGUCUGCGACAGUUAAUUCUCACUGUGAGGGGAUAGUCCAGUCCCUGUUACUCCAUCUUGGCUGGAAGUGGAAAUUGAAUCUUUGUCUUUUGAAAGUGGAUUUAAUAUUUAGAAACAGCCCAAGGAAAGGGUGGCUGUGCUGGUAAGGUAAGGAGGACCAAAGACAAAGACACCCAUUGUCGUGAUAAAUACUCAGACCAGGCUGUAUCACCACAGUGGCCAACGUAAAGUGGAGAAAACUCAGAAGUAUUAAACUACUCUCCAUGACUAUCUGGUUAGUAAACAGAGGACUCGGGACUAGGACUCAUCUGGAACUCCUACGUCAGUCCUUUUCCCACUGCACAGUGCUGCCUCUCCAGUCAAAUUCUUGGGCAUAACUGAAAUGCAGCCUAAAGAAAUUAAAAAUGGCCCACUUGAAAGAGGAAAAGAUAAUUUUCAACUUCCCAGGACCCACCUGGCAUUGUGCUUGCAAACAAGUCCAGGGAACAGAAUCCACUGACUUCUGAUAAGGAACUCCUGAAGGGAUGGAAUCAUUCUAAGGCCUAACAUUAAUGGUGAGAAAAUGGUCUUUCCAAGGGGGCCAAUUAGAGGCUUGGUAGCGUGAAGUAUUUUUCAGAAUGUCAUAGCUCAGGGAAGCUGGGGAAAGGUGGUUAUGUUGCCUUGAAGAAUUGUACAAAGUAGGUUAGCAGCGUUGCUUCCAUUUUUGUGAAAGAAUGCCUUUCUAAUUUUAGAUUCUUUCAAAAAGUGGGUAGGCUUUUGUGUGAGGGGAAGCUUUUCUCAGUACUCAUUUUGAGAGGUGCCUGUGAAAUCAUUUUAUAUCCUGUUUGGAAAAGGAAGACAAUGUGGUGGAAAUGUAAAAUGAGUUUGCGUAAAAAUUUAUCUUCCCCAGAAGAUACGGCAGAAAUAGGACUCCACAGCCAUACUUAUUACUUUUUCCCCUAAGUUAUAGAGAUGUGUGUUAUCAGUUCAGUGCAGGUAUUGGGCUCCUUUAACUGUAAUGUGUCUCCUGAUGUUAUACAGUAGGAACUAUUUAUUUAGCCGAUCAUUCAAGAAGGAACAAAGACCUUUAUUAAACUCCUGGAGAGUGUUGGGUUUUCCCUAGCUUCACAAUAUCUCCACUAUAAUUUAUUUUGUAAAUUCUAAUUUUCAGAGCGUUAAAAUAUAGCUCAUAAAAUGACUUUUUGUUUUUAACCCAUUUUUUCCUCUGGUAAAACAGCAAAUAUUCCAAAUUCACAUGCCCCCCAAAAAGAAAAGAAGGGUUCCCACCAAGGACCUGAGGUCACUUUAUAGGUUGACAAUUGUGUGGAGCUUUUUUAAAGCAACUGAGGUUGGAUUAUGUCCUAAGAAGCCAUUUUUCAAAUUUUCUUUCAACCGAAGAAUUUUACAUUUAUUUUAAAAUUGGGAAUUUUAUCUAUAAAGAUGAAGGCUUAGAGAAACCUGGGAUCUAAGAUUGUAAAAUUACCAAGUGGUCUGGUUGCCAAGUCCUAGAAGGCUAGGGUUAGAUUAGAUUAGAAUUGAAGGUCAUCUUUUUAGGACCAAUCAAAGUCAGUGAGAUUCUCCUGACUGGGGAGUAUGCAUAUAAGACUUCCAUUACCUCCAGAGAGACUGCAAAUCUAAGGAGGGAAAUGAAGGAUCCUAAUAAAUGUUUAACAUAUAUGGCCCCAUUUAAUCCUCACAAACUACUUUGGAGAGUCCACAUUUUAUAGAAGAGAUAAUAAGGCUCAGAUAGAAGUUUGUCAAUAGGCCCAAGGCCACAUGGCUAAUAAAUAGCAAAACUAGAAUUUAAAUCCAAAUCUGUGAGACUGUCAAACCUAUGCUCAUCUCACUGUACCUAUGGAGGUUCAAGAAGACCUUAAGCAAAGUCUUAGUAGAUAGAGUUAGAGUUAUAUAGAGUUAUUAAGAGAAACCAAGGAUAUUAAAGUUUUCCUUAAUAUUUGAGACUGAUACCGAGAACAACUAGACUCAUCUACCUUGGGGCUCAGACAUAGAACUUAAAGCUAGGUAGAUGAUAAAGCUGAGGUUUCAUUCAUGCCAGGCUCUCUUGUGGCCAGUUAAUAAAGCUGCCUUUAAGUGAGAUACAAAUCCAUGGCCUAGUCAGCUAAUCUCGGAUUGAUACGGUGCAAAUCAUUAUGAUCUUUUGGAUACUUGUGACCUAGAAGAUCUCUUCUGGUUACUUUGUUUAUCUGAGGUUUGUGAUAGGUGUGUAAGAGUCAUGUCCUGUACAAGUGAAUGUAUAGAAGGGGCCUGUCCAGAACAGAUUUGUCAUUUAUUAGUAUUGGCCAAGCUGCUUCUAGAUUCAAAUAAGACAUGUCCAUUAAUUAUCUGGCUUAAAUGAAAUUCUUUCAAUAAAUAAUUUCAUUAUAUGAUAUUUUCCUUUUUGUUUGUCUCUCCCCAUUAAAAUGCAAGCUUCAUGAGAGUAGGGAUCUUGUCUGUCUUGUUUACUGUGGUAACAUGACCUCCUAGAACAGGUGCUUUGCAUAGAGCAGGUCAGUAAAUGUUUGUUCAGUGAACAUAAACACUGUAGGCCCACAAUGAUUCUUGUCAAUCUGUUUCCUUGCUCAGUUCUUUCUCCUGUUCACCACAUGAACAGAAAAGUGUUCAUGCCCAAGAAGGAAAGGAAAUGGUGAACAUUUAGCCAGUCUCCCUCAUCCUAUUUGGUUUUUUAAAAAAUUAUUUUAUUGAGGUCAUAUUGGCUUAUAACGUUGUAUAAAUUUCAGGUGUACAUUGUUAUAUAUCAAUUUCUGUAUAGACUGCAUUGUGUUGACCACCAAUAGUCUAGUUUUUAUCUGUUACCAUACAUAUGUGCCCCUUUACCCAUUUCGCCCUCUCCCCACACACUUUCCCUCUGGUAACCACUGAUCUAUUUGGUUUGUUUUAUCUACUGUGUUUUUACCUUCAGCUUCUAGAUUGGCUCAUUUCAUCAGAUUUUUAUUUAUUUUAUUUAUUUAUUUUUUUGGUGAGGAAGAUUGGCCCUGAGCUAACAUCUAUUGUCAAUCUUCCUCUUUUUGCUUGAGGAAGAUUAUCACUGAGAUAACAUUUGUGCCAAUUUUCCUCUAUCUUGUGUGUGGGAUACUGCCACAGCAUGGUUUAAUGAGCAGUGUGUAGGUCCAUACCUGGGAUUUGAACCUAUGAACCCUGGGCUGCCAAACUGGAGCACAUGAACUUAAGCACUACACCACUGGGCCGGCCUCCCAUUAGAGUUUUAAAGCAUGAUUAAGUUUCUCCCAACUUUUAAAACAAAACAAACAACAGCAACACUUUCCUUGCAUCUUCUUCUGUAUUAGUUUCCUAGGGCUAUUGUAACAAAGUACCACAAGCUGAGUGGCUUGAAAAACAGAAAUUUAUUCUCUCACAGCUCUGGGGGCUAGAAGUCUGAAAUUGAGAUGUUGACAGGGCCAUGCUCCCUCUGAGACUCUAUUCUAGGUAGAAUUCUUCCUUGCCUUUUCCUAGUUUCUAGCAGUGGCCAUUGAUUUUUGAUGUUCUUUGACUUGCAGCUGCAUCACUCUGAUCUCUCCCUCGUUUUUCUCAUGAUAUUCUCCCUGUGUGUGUCUGUCUUCAAAUGUCAUUUUCUUCUUCUUAUAAGGAC
ensembl:lncRNA